rnacentral:rRNA from 1 species
UACGGGGGGGCAAGCGUUGUUCGGAAUUACUGGGCGUAAAGGGCUCGUAGGUGGCCAACUAAGUCAGACGUGAAAUCCCUCGGCUUAACCGGGGAACUGCGUCUGAUACUGGAUGGCUUGAGUUUGGGAGAGGGACGCGGAAUUCCAGGUGUAGCGGUGAAAUGCGUAGAUAUCAGGAGGAACACCGGUGGCGAAGGCGGUUCUCUGGGCAUUACCUGACGCUGAGGAGCGAAAGUGUGGGAGGCGAACAGG